AACGAACGCUGGCGGCGUGGAUAAGACAUGCAAGUCGUACGAAGUGGCUUCGGUCACUUAGUGGCGCACGGGUGAGUAACACGUGAAUCAUCUGCCCCUGAGACAGGGAUAGCCCCGGGAAACUGGGAUUAAUACCUGAUGGUCUCGCAAGAGUAAAGCAGCAAUGCGCUCAGGGAGGAGCUCGCGUCCUAUUAGGUAGUUGGUGAGGUAACGGCUCACCAAGCCGACGAUCAGUAGCCGGACUGAGAGGUUGAACGGCCACAUUGGAACUGAGAUACGGUCCAGACUCCUACGGGAGGCAGCAGUGGGGAAUAUUGGGCAAUGGACGAAAGUCUGACCCAGCGACGCCGCGUGAAGGAAGAAGAUCUUCGGAUUGUAAACUUCUGUUGACAGGGAAGAAGAAAGUGACGGUACCUGUCGAGGAAGCCACGGCUAACUACGUG
rnacentral:rRNA from 1 species